AGCCGAUUAGUUCAGUUGGUAGAACAACGGAUUUUGAUUCCGUAUGUCAGGUGUUCGAAUCACCUAUCGGCCGCCA
rnacentral:tRNA from 1 species